AGCGCAGCAGUCGCGAAUUUUUCUCAAUGGGGGAAACCCUGAAGGAGCGACGCCGCGUGAAGGAUGAAGGUCUUCGGAUUGUAAACUUCUGUCAUUAGGGAACAAAUCUUCCAAGUAACUACUGGAAGUCUGAUAGUACCUGAAGAGGAAGAGACGGCUAACUCUGUGCCAGCAGCCGCGGUAAUACAGAGGUCUCAACCGUUGUUCGGAUUCAUUGGGCGUAAAGGGUGCGUAGGCGGCGGAGUAAGUCAGGUGUGAAAUCUCGGGGCUCAACCCCGAACUGCACUUGAUACUGCUUCGCUUGAGUACUGGAGUGGAGACUGGAAUUUACGGUGUAGCAGUGAAAUGCGUAGAUAUCGUAAGGAAGACCAGUGGCGAAGGCGAGUCUCUGGACAGUUACUGACGACUGAGGCACGAAGGCCAGGGGAGGCAAACGGGAGUUAG
rnacentral:rRNA from 1 species